GAUGAACGCUGGCGGCGUGCCUAAUACAUGCAAGUCGAGCGAACAGAUGAGGAGCUUGCUCCUCUGACGUUAGCGGCGGACGGGUGAGUAACACGUGGAUAACCUACCUAUAAGACUGGGAUAACUUCGGGAAACCGGAGCUAAUACCGGAUAAUAUAUUGAACCGCAUGGUUCAAUAGUAAAAGACGGUUUUGCUGUCACUUAUAGAUGGAUCCGCGCCGCAUUAGCUAGUUGGUAAGGUAACGGCUUACCAAGGCAACGAUGCGUAGCCGACCUGAGAGGGUGAUCGGCCACACUGGAACUGAGACACGGUCCAGACUCCUACGGGAGGCAGCAGUAGGGAAUCUUCCGCAAUGAGCGAAAGCCUGACGGAGCAACGCCGCGUGAGUGAUGAAGGUCUUCGGAUCGUAAAACUCUGUUAUUAGGGAAGAACAAAUGUGUAAGUAACUAUGCACGUCUUGACGGUACCUAAUCAGAAAGCCACGGCUAACUACGUG
rnacentral:rRNA from 1 species